GAUGAACGCUGGCGGCGUGCCUAAUACAUGCAAGUCGGGCGAACGGACGAGAAGCUUGCUUCUUUGAUGUUAGCGGCGGACGGGCGAGUAACACGUGGAUAACCUACUUAUAAGACUGGGAUAACGUCGGGAAACCGGAGCUAAUACCGGAUAAUAUCUUGAACCGCAUGGUUCAAAAGUGAAAGACGGUCUGGCUGAAACUUAUAGAUGGAUCCGCGCUGCAGGAGCUAGUUGGUAAGGUAACGGCUUACCAAGGCAACGAUGCAUAGCCGACCUGAGAGGGGGAUAGGCCACAGGGGGACUGAGACACGGACCAGAGUCCUACGGGAGGCAGCAGUAGGGAAUCUUCGGCAAUGGACGAAAGUCUGACCGAGCAACGCCGCGGGAGUGAAGAAGGUUUUCGGAUCGUAAAGCUCUGUUGUAAGAGAAGAACGGUUGUGAGAGUGGAAAGUUCACACGGUGACGGUAUCUUACCAGAAAGGGACGGCUAACUACGU
rnacentral:rRNA from 1 species